CUGGUCUAUCUGCCUGUCCCAGCCGCUGACACUGCUGAGGUCACUGACCUGACCUCUACCCUGGGUCAGCUUACAAGUCACACCGUCCCGCUGCUGGUAGUUACUGACCCUGCCGAUAGAGGUCUCUGGCUGCUCGAACGGGAGCUGAAUAGAUCGGAAGAGUCGGUGCUACGUAAUUCGGUGCAGCAGCUGGUUAUUCGCUUGAACUUUCAAAGAUACCUACCAGUUGCCAGUCACAGCGCAUUCUACCGAAAUAUCUACGCCAUCUUCCGCAGACUACAAUCACUAGGGUUUUACCCUUUUGCCCAUGAGCCUAACUACUUUACUGAAGAUAAUGUGACAGUGGAGGGGCUAGAGAAUCGUGUGUACCCUUCAAUGGAUAUCGGGUGGAUGAGAACAGCGUGUUUUCCGUAUGAUAGUUCUUAAUUGUUCCGUUCGAAAUGGGUCUGCUGUAUGAAUACGCAUAAAUAAUAAUAUAAGUCUAACGUUAGA